UCCUACGGGGGGCAGCAGUGGGGAAUAUUGCACAAUGGGGGAAACCCUGAUGCAGCGACGCCGCGUGAGCGAUGAAGUAUUUCGGUAUGUAAAGCUCUAUCAGCAGGGAAGAAAAUGACAGUACCUGACUAAGAAGCCCCGGCUAACUACGUGCCAGCAGCCGCGGUAAUACGUAGGGGGCAAGCGUUAUCCGGAUUUACUGGGUGUAAAGGGAGCGUAGACGGUCCUGCAAGCCAGAUGUGAAAGCCCGGGGCUCAACCCCGGGACUGCAUUUGGAACUGUGAGGCUAGAGUGUCGGAGAGGCA
rnacentral:rRNA from 1 species